rnacentral:rRNA from 1 species
CANGCGCUGUUUAGAAUGCAAGUCGAACGGGGAACCGACCAGUUAUUUAUAUUGGUUAGUUUCUAGUGGCGCACGGGUGAGUAACACGUGAACGACAUACCCUGUAGUGGGGGAUAGCCCGCCGAAAGGCGGAUUAAUACCCCAUGGUACCUUCGGGUUAAAGAUGGCUUUCGGGCUGUCGCUACGGGAUUGGUUCGCGCCCUAUCAGCUUGUUGGUGAGGUAACGGCUCACCAAGGCUACGACGGGUACCUGGUCUGAGAGGAUGAUCAGGCACACUGGAACUGAGACACGGUCCAGACACCUACGGGUGGCAGCAGUCGAGAAUAAUUCACAAUGGGCGAAAGCCUGAUGGUGCAACGCCGCGUGGAGGAUGACGGUCUUCGGAUUGUAAACUCCUGUCAUCUGGGAGUAAGACCUGGGGGUUAAUAGCCCACAGGGUUGAUAGUACCAGAAGAGGAAGGGACGGCUAACUUCGUGCCAGCAGCCGCGGUAAUACGAAGGUCCCAAGCGUUGUUCGGAAUCACUGGGCGUAAAGGGCGCGUAGGCGGGUGGGAAAGUCUGGUGUGAAAGCCCGGGGCUCAACCCCGGAAGUGCACUGGAAACUUCCCGUCUUGAGUUCGGGAGAGGAAGGCAGAAUUCCCGGUGUAGGAGUGAAAUCCGUAGAGAUCGGGAGGAAAAUCAGUGGCGAAGGCGGCCUUCUGGAACGAAACUGACGCUGAGGCGCGAAAGCGUGGGGAGCAAACAGGAUUAGAGACCCUGGUAGUCCACGCCGUAAACGAUGGAUGCUUGGUGUGGGGAUCAUUUAGGAUUUCCGUGCCGGAGCUAACGCAAUAAGCAUCCCGCCUGGGG